rfam:Bacillus glycinifermentans strain GO-13 contig_1, whole genome shotgun sequence.
AACAGAUAAAGGCAAACCUGCGGAAACGCAGGGACGCAAAGCCAUGGCCUAAGGCACAGACGGUGCUACGGUUGACAGGUUGCCGAA